UAUAAUGUGACGGGCAAAGCCAAAACGUUUUGGGUGGCGCUCGGAGGGAGGGGGGCCUAGCUGUGAGGGAGCUGCGGCAGCUCACGGCGCGAUGCCGCACGGCACCGUGCCUUCCAGUAGCAGCCGUGAGCUGUGCAGGGCGCUAGGAAAAGUACAGCCAUAAAUAGCACUGCAGCAUUGCGUUAAUCAUCAUGUGUGGUUUUAAGUAAUAACUGUGGCAAAAAGUAGUAACAGUGGAAAUUAAAUAGGCUCUGAACAAUACCUAUAAAUCAGCAAGACACACGGUUGCCCAUCAACAUACUAACAGGAUUGGAUUUUAAUUUUUUUUUCCAUCUCUGAAUGUGUCCUCUCCUAGCAGUUCUAAACAUAGCCUUGGUAAAACGAAACGACUGUGAGCAGCUCACACAUGUUGCCAUACUUAAAAUCAAUGCGUACCUCAGGUUUUCAUCACCUGCCUUUUGACAUAACUUGUGAAACACUGAGCGUCUUCUUUCCAGUUAUUUCAAGGGAAAUUACUGUCAGAAAAUGUCUGGUGCCUUCAGCGCUAACCUGCUGAAUAAUGACGCAGAAACAUCAAAGGAUUCAUGUUUCCAACUCUAGAAAUAAGCCUUCUAGCUCAAUCUAUUUUUCAUAGAAUUAUCUGCUGUACCUCAAUUAUGUAGCAGUGUCGCCUGCAGUCCAUUAUCUUGGGCUAAUGUUCCACUCACAGUCUUUUCUCUUUUCAUUCUGUUCCCUGGAAAAUCUAAGUUAAUUGAAAGGCUGAGUAUUCUUUCCUCAGUACUUUUUUCUUUUUAAUACUUCUGUAGAAAGAUAUGCAUAUACUCCUGACUGCAGAAGAUUGCUUUUUCUUCUUAGCAAUGAGGUAUAAAAUGUUGUACAAUACAGAGAACGGUACUGUUUUCAUCAUUGGACUUCAUGUUCCUUAUCAGUCCCUUCCAACUUGAGAUAUUCUCUUCAAGAUUAAGUUUCUUUGUACAAAGCUUUCUAUAAUUAAACAAUACUUCUCCCCAAAGGAGGGCACUGGAAUGAGACCAUUUACUCUGACAAGAGUUACACCCAUGGAGUUUCUUAUUGUAGAGCUUUAAUUCACAAAGCUGGUCGUGGUCUAGCAAAGGGACAGAGCCUACCUUUGGGAAGCAGUCCUGCUCACAUGUGCAAUUCAUGACUCAUUCAUGUCUUGCCCCAUGACAGAGCAAUUCUUUUAAAGCUGUUUUUAAGGGCACCAUAUUCCACACUUUGAGAGCUCCAUAAAAAACACAGAGUUCUUCAAAUCAUGCUAAACACCCACGAACGAGGUGCAGUUUCAGAUGCACAAAGUAUAUGACACCAGGCAGCCGCAGCUUGGAAUUGCUUCACUUCAUGAGUAUGCCAGGUGACUCCAUACAGUGCUUUUUGCUUCUCUUGGAGGUCAUCAGUAAACUCCUGUUACUCAUUCCUAAGAGUGCUUUCCUGGUUUUGUGCAGGUUUUGUGUUCCUGUCUGUGAUAACAACUGAACUAGAUAAGCAGUACUCUUCUUGCAUAGCUCCAGUAAGGACUGAAGGCCCAGGGCUGAGCUUAAAUAGAGUUCCUGGGCCCAUGGGUGUGAGUAGAAGCUGAAGGUGGGGCUAUUUAGAGCUAUUAAGGCUUAUUACUGCACUCAGGACUCACAAAGAGUUCAUCUAAUCCCUUUAUUCCUUACAGGAUAAAAUUUGCAAUAAUGCCUUUCACCCCAGUUACCUAUGGCUGCUCAUUCCUGACUCAGCUUUUGCUAAAGGAAGGGUGAAAUGUGUGGACUCUUGUACAGAAUGGAAGAAAACAUACUCAAAGUCAUAAGCCUGUCUUCCAAAAGGAGAUAACCUACUUGUGGGGGACAAAGGGACCUCUAUAGCUGUUUUAUUUGUGGAAGUACAGUUGUCAUGGAACUUCUCUGUGAGCCACAGCCCAGGAGUCCUGAACCCUUUAUUUAUUUGCAGAAGAGAAUAUACAGCAUCAAGGAUGCGGGAAAUUCUAGAGUCCUGCAAAAUGGAAAUCACGGUGUCCAUCUUUGAAAGGAUGGGAGGGAAGACAAAUACAACCAAAGGAAUUACAUUUAGCCCACUUUCCCUUCCUAGAAAUAGACAAAUUAUCUAUGUGUAAGCACUAGAAGAUAAGAAGGUAAUGAGAAACAUCUGGCAUCAAUAAAUCAGAACAAAACA